GACGAACGCUGGCGGCGUGCCUAAUACAUGCAAGUCGAGCGCAGGAAAUCGACGGAACCCUUCGGGGGGAAGUCGACGGAAUGAGCGGCGGACGGGUGAGUAACACGUAAAGAACCUGCCCUCAGGUCUGGGAUAACCACGAGAAAUCGGGGCUAAUACCGGAUGGGUCAUCGGACCGCAUGGUCCGAGGAUGAAAGGCGCUUCGGCGGCGCCUGGGGAUGGCUUUGCGGGGCAUUAGCUAGUUGGUGGGGUAAUGGCCCACCAAGGCGACGGUGCAUAGCCGACCUGAGAGGGUGAUCGGCCACACUGGGACUGAGCCACGGCCCAGACUCCUACGGGAGGCAGCAGUAGGGAAUCUUCCACAAUGGACGAAAGUCUGAUGGAGCAACGCCGCGUGAACGAUGAAGGCCUUCGGGUCGUAAAGUUCUGUUGUAAGGGAAGAACAAGUGCCGCAGGCAAUGGCGGCACCUUGACGGUACCUUGCGAGAAAGCCACGGCUAACUACGUGCCAGCCGCCGCCGUAA
rnacentral:rRNA from 1 species